rnacentral:tRNA from 1 species
GCGUCGAUGGUCCAGUGGUAGGAUGUCCACUUGCCAUGUGAGCGGACCGGGUUCGAUUCCCGGCUGACGCA